CCACUCUGAAGCACCUGAGUUGCUGGCUGAAGUAAUGAAUGAGUUUCUCUCUGUAAGUAGCUGAGCUGCUUCCUCCGCCCAGGAACUCCAACCUCACAGCUUCCCAAGCCUGAAAGACGGAUAAAGUGCUGGAACCUAAUGAGCCCACAGCGCAGGGUUACAAUGCAGAGUCUGUUCAGGCGAUGCAGCAUGGAGGACAGGACAGUUCAGCGUCAUCUUGAGCGCCAGGCGGUAGAGUGACAUGGUGUCCUGACACUGCAGACACUGCUCCAUGCUCUUCUCCUGUGACCAACAUGAUCUACUGCUGGACAGCAAAACACACAUGUCAACACAAGGUCCCACAGCACAUCCCCAGAGUCUUCCUCCCGACCUUCCUCUAUCCCAGAGUCCUUUGAGUCAGCAUCUGCUCCUUCAAGACCCAGCAGCUCCUGGAGGGAGACAGUGGAGAUGGAAGUUUGAAAGGCAGU